rnacentral:rRNA from 1 species
GUCCACGCCGUAAACGAUGGAUGCUAGGUGUGGGUGGUGUCGACUCCAUCCGUGCCGAAGCUAACGCAUUAAGCAUCCCGCCUGGGGAGUACGGCCGCAAGGCUAAAACUCAAAGGAAUUGACGGGGACCCGCACAAGCAGCGGAGCAUGUGGUUUAAUUCGACGCAACGCGAAGAACCUUACCUGGGUUUGACAUGUUGAGGAAAGCCGUGGAAACACGGCCCCCUUGGGUCUCAUCACAGGUGGUGCAUGGCUGUCGU